GACGUAGGUGGCGAGCGUUGUCCGGCAUUACUGGGGGUAAAGGGCGUGUAGGCGGGAAUGCAAGUUGGAUGUGAAAUUCCGGGGCUUAACCUCGGCGCUGCAUCCGAAACUGCAUUUCUUGAGUGCUGGAGAGGAAAGCGGAAUUCCUAGUGUAGCGGUGAAAUGCGUAGAUAUUAGGAGGAACACCAGUGGCGAAGGCGGCUUUCUGGACAGUAACUGACGCUGAGGCGCGAAAGCGUGGUGAGCAAACAGG
rnacentral:rRNA from 1 species